rnacentral:rRNA from 1 species
GCGCAGCAGUCGCGAAACCUCCGCAAUGCGGGAAACCGUGACGGGGUCACCCCGAGUGCCACCCGCUGAGGGUGGCUUUUCCCCGGUCUAAAGAGCCGGGGGAAUAAGCGGGGGGCAAGACUGGUGUCAGCCGCCGCGGUAAUACCAGCCCCGCGAGUGGUCGGGACGUUUAUUGGGCCUAAAGCGUCCGUAGCCGGCCCGGUAAUUCCUCCUUAAAGCCCACGGCUCAACCGUGGGAACGGAGGGAUAAUGCCGGGCUAGGGGGCGGGAGAGGCCGGGGGUACUCCCGGGGUAGGGGCGAAAUCCUGUAAUCCCGGGAGGACCGUCAGUGGCGAAGGCGCCCGGCUGGAACGCGCCCGACGGUGAGGGACGAAAGCUGGGGGAGCAAAGGGGAUUAGAUACCCCUGUAGU